GUACUGAGAAACAUGAUUGGCAGUGGUAACGCUUGACUUGUAAUCAAGAGGCCCGCGGUUCAAUCCCGCGUCGGGGCA